UGCCAUCUGCCCCUAUUCUAGCUAAGACACCACUACUUGGCUUCUUCCCUAAGAUAUCACCGACCGACUCACUAUACCUAGCUUACACUCUUUCAUUUUCUUCUUUAUUCUCUCAAUCAAUCUCUCUUGAAACCUAUGGAACCACCAUCUCCGACCACCACUACCACAUCUGUUCACGCCAUCUCCACCUAUUGUCCCCAAUUGCUGAAAUCACAUCUCCUCUUAUUCCCUUUCUUUCUUUUGACUAAUCCAUUUUAUUUCCCUCAGUUUAAUCAAGAUUAGAGGUCAUGGGUUCAUACGCGUCACUUGAAUUUGAACGAUGCUACCCACUGGUUCUACUUUUCUUUUUCACUUUUUUUUAUAUGCCUUGUCGCCUUUGCUUCAUCUGUUUGUGUUAUGUUCGCCUAAAGUUCAUUUUUUAACAAUAAAAACCCUAAUUUCUUCUUAUUUGAUUUUGAAGUAGUAUUUGUUUAGUAAUCUACGUGCUACAUGGACGCCUGAUUUCUACUUCCUUUCACACCUUCGUACUGACUCCCUCUCCUCGAUAGUUUGCGAUUACAAUUUAGGGUUCAUGAAUGGUCCUUCAAUUUCUAUUUUGAUCGUUCUCCUAUUAACAUUGGGUUAAUUUCACCGAUGGAUUAGUGUUGAAGAAUAACCUCACCCUUCGUCUUCUACUUUCUUUUAUUUACUCUUUCAACUGGAUGUGAAAUAUAAGUGAACAUCGGGAGUCAACGAUUGAAGAGGAAGCUAAGGGCUGAGCAUCAGAGAGCAAACUGAUGAGGUUCUAUAUGUAGAUUUGAGACAAUCAAGGCUCAUGAGGACAAAUAAUGCAAUGCUUUCAUGGCACCAGGUAGCAUCUUUAAGUAAAGGUCGGUGGAAAAAGCCCAAUAGAGUUGUGCUUCACAAGCUUCAUGAUGCAUGCGAAAAUACGGACAUCUUUAGAUCAACAAAAAUUUAAUCAUAUUCUGUGAAAACUCAAGCAAGAUUUAUUCUUGCGAUUUUUUAGUGAACUUAUCCAAAUAACUUGACAUGGUGAUAUUUUUAUUGAUUUCUAUAUCCAAAACUUACAAGCCCCAUCAAUUAUUGUAAAAAUCACACAUGCUUGAAACAAAAGAGUAUAUACAAUAAACUUAUACCAAAAGUUCUUCA